UGUUAGCAACUCAACUCAGAAUGUUAAAUUAGACAAAUGUUUGGUCAGCUAUCAUGUCAUAAAUCUAGGUUUUCUUGACCAGGUAGCCAUACAUCAAAAAUUACUGUAGUAAAUCUAACUUGGAAGUGAAAUCCUGCAGUUUGUAAACUGUAAUUUCUAAAUGGACUUUUCUGUAUUGAUAGAAAGCCAUUUUUCUGAGCACAGGAACCUGAAAUAAAAAUGAAGGCCUAUCGGUUGAACCUGAGAAGUCACAAGUGACACUGUGGGCUUCCCUGAAUGUGUGGAAUGCCAUCAGCAGCUGUCCACACACUCUUAAUGCCUGCUUGAGAUGGCCAUGAUGCCCAUUUCUGCACAUGGUCUCCUUUUUCCUAUACCAUACUCUGUAGCCAGGUAGUAGUAGAACACCAGGGUCACAACAACCAGUGAGUGGUGGACCAAAGCCAAUUUUACUCUAAAGAUUCAGUUUUCAUUUUUUCAUCUACUCCAUGUUUAAAUGAGGACUCGUUUUCUCUCAGUGCUCCGCUUAGCUUAGGGAUGACUUUGAACUGAGAAUUUAUGUAAAAUGAGACACUGAUGGUGACUUAACUGUCAUCAGGGGAGCAUGGUAAAGAAUGUUUGUCAAGUCCUUCUAUUCAGCAGUGACAGGAAUGUGGGGAAAUGAUGUCUGGUAGUUUGUGCAGUUCUGCUGCUAGGAAAUUUCCUGGAGAAGGGGCACAGUACACAGUACACACAUCAGGAGGACUGAUGGAGUUGGCCUUUCCCACAGGGAGCAUUGUUGUGGAAGGCCACGAACUGCAUGAAGAAGACAUCCACCUUAUGUACACCUUUGACCAGACCACAGGUGGGACCGCACAGUUUGAAGCACAUUCGCAUGCUCAGCAUGGGCAGAAGAGCACUAUCGGUGCAGUUGGUUGUCCACUCCUGGUCCUGCUUGUGCAUAUGUCAAUCUUCACAUCUGUGCAAAUGGUAGGG